rnacentral:rRNA from 1 species
CACGGGGGGAGCAAGCGUUGUUCGGAAUUACUGGGCGUAAAGGGCGCGUAGGCGGCACUGUUAGUCAGGCGUGAAAGUCCUGGGCUCAACCUGGGAACUGCGCUUGAUACGGCAGAGCUAGAGGAUGGAAGAGGCUCGCGGAAUUCCCAGUGUAGAGGUGAAAUUCGUAGAUAUUGGGAAGAACACCGGUGGCGAAGGCGGCGAGCUGGUCCAUUACUGACGCUGAGGCGCGACAGCGUGGGGAGCAAACAGG